UACGUAGGGUGCGAGCGUUGUCCGGAAUUAUUGGGCGUAAAGAGCUCGUAGGCGGUGUGUCACGUCGGCCGUGAAAACCUGCAGCUUAACUGUGGGCGUGCGGUCGAUACGGGCGGGCUGGAGUUCGGUAGGGGAGACUGGAAUUCCUGGUGUAGCGGUGAAAUGCGCAGAUAUCAGGAGGAACACCGGUGGCGAAGGCGGGUCUCUGGGCCGAUACUGACGCUGAGGAGCGAAAGCGUGGGGAGCGAACAGG
rnacentral:rRNA from 1 species